UUUUGACCUAAUAUUUAAUUUUGAUUAAUUUUUCAUUUCUACUUAGAAAUAUGUGUUUGAUAUUUUCAGUGAACAAAGUUCACUUACAGCAAUGAAUUAAAGCAUUCUUGUACUAUUACCAAUUACAAAUUACACUAAAACUUUUACACCACAUUCUGCUUUAUAAACGCAGGAUAAUUGCUCCUUAGACUUCAGUAUUUGAAAUCACUCCUAUACAUUUUAUUUAAUGAUUUUUUGUUAUGGUUUGUAUCUGUGGUAUCCUACAAAAUCUCAUGUUAGGCAAUGCAGAAAUGUGCUGAGGUGAAAUGUUCAAAUUAUGACAGCUGUAACCUAAUCAAUGGAUUAUUCCACUUGAUGGAUGAAUAACUCGAAUGGAUUAUUAGGUGAUAACUACAGGCAGGUGGGACAUGACUAGAGGAAGUAAGUCAAUGGGGACAUGCCUGGUGUUUUUAUUUUCUCCUGGCUCCUUGCUCUCUGCUUCUCUGCCACCAUGGGCUGAGCAACUUUCCUCUGCCAGGCCCUUCACCCAUGACCUCUGCCUCAUCUUGGGCCCAGAGCAAUGGAGUCAGCUGACCAUGGACUGAACAUCUGAAACUAUGAACCCCAAAAUAGUUCUUCCUCUAAGUUGUUCUGGUCAGGUAUUCUGGUCACAGCAUGAAAAGCCAAGACAUUUUUAAACCUGAGUUUUGCUUUGCCUAAUAGUAAAAUCACCAUCCUCAGUUUUUUGUUUCAUUUUUGUCUCCUAUUUAUAGGACAUCGGCAGAUUCUUUCACGAGGAGAGUUAAAUCCUUCUUGGGAAUUCACUUUGACUUACCCCACCACUCUCCUCCUUCCCACCCACCACAGAGCUUCAUGAUGAAUUCAGCAGCAACGCCAUCCACAUUAAGUUGACUUCUCUAGACAUUGAAGGAGGAAGCACUAUUGUUCCCAAAGCAGCAGCCCUGAUUCAAGGACAGAGCACAACUCCAUCACCACCUGACAUUUCAAUAAGCCUUAGCAUGCUUCCAACAUUCUAAUAACAUUCAAAUCAUGGGGAAAUGUCCUACUUUAAAUUGCAAAAUCUGUCAGAAAAGCUCAAUGUUGGGGUGAGCCACAGUCAGCUCAAAAAUCUUUCUUUCCCUCAUUUCAUUUUUUUUUUACAUUUUAAAAAAAAUCCAUUAGAGGAUGGAUCUAUAUUCCAGGUUGUUUAUAAAAAUAUGUAGUGUAUUUACUAAAAUACAAUUAGCUAGAUCUUUAUGAUUGAACUCACAGACUAUUAUUAGUAUACUAUAUACUAGAGCAUUAUUUUAGUCAGCUUUUUUGCUACUGUGGCUUAAAAACCCAACCAGCACAAUUGUAGGAGAAGAAGAGUUUAUUUGAGAGCUCAAAGUUUCAGAGGUCUUAAUCCAUAGAAGGUUCCAGAUGAGGCUGAACAUCAUGGCAGAGUGUGUGGCAGAGGGAAGCAGCUCACAUCAUGGUGAUCAAGAAGCAGAGAGAGAGAGAGACUCUGCUCACCAGAUACAAAUAUAUACCCCAAAGCCAUACCCAUGCCCUAAUUCCCACAUCCUCUAGCCACACUCUACCACUUCAGUUAAUCCCAUCAAAGAUUAAUUCACUGAUGAGUCUAAGGCUAUAACCCAAUGAUUUUUCCCCCAAACGUUCUUGCAUUGAAUUACACAUGAGCUUUCUGUAGACGCCAUAUUUAAAACAUAACACAUGUACCUACAUGAAAGACCAGGCAGUGUCUUCAGCAAUUUUACUUCAUUCUUCUCUUGGCAGUCAAAGCACAUUUGAUAAAACUUAGGGAAAUUCUGUACUAGGUGAAACUUUAGACUGGCUGGAACAUUUUGCAAAAGAAGAUUAUUAAUAGCUCAGUUACUGGGGGGAAAAGAGGAGAAAACAGUGUCUGGUAAGCUUUGGACAGUGACUGUAAUUUUCAUAUGACAAGAGGCUGGAUGGCUAAUUAUUAUCCAGGAGGAAUCAUUAAAAUAUUAGCUCAUGAAGUAUAAUUAUAGAGAACAAGCCUAUACAAAACUGCCUAUUUUUCUACAAAUUAAGACCUGAAAUUUACUUUUCUUCAUUAUUACCACUAUUAUUUUUACUAGAAUGAUAAGAUGACAUUACAUAACUAGGCUGAGUUCCUUUCCUUCUAGAUGUGGUCUGGUACUCUCUUUCAUGGAGGGAAUAACACCUGCACCCCAAACAGAAUAAUGCAAUCAUUAUCUUCAACCUUCACAAUUACCAGAAUAUUAGAAAUUUCAGCAUUGAGUUUAUUCUGGGGCCUGUCCUACAGAUAUCCACAUUAAAAGAUUAUUGUAUAAGUUUAUUAGAAUCCUAUGAAAAAGAGAUGAGUUUGAAACCCACAUAUACCUUAUGAAACUAUGAUGGAAUGGAUAAAUUUAUUCAAUUUUUCAACUUUUGAAAAUCUAGUAAAGAUGACUUUAAAUAUAGUGGAAUAAAGCAAAUAAUUACUAGGGGAUAAAUAAGGUCAGUGAAAAUAACAUCCACCUCUGGAUCAUGAGUCAAAGGUUUAAAUAUCCCUUGAACAGAUGACCCCUGCUACUUUUUAAAUCCAUGCUUAUUGAAGCAUAAUUUAUAUUCAGUAGCUACCCUUCAACUGAUGAAUGUAUAAAGAAAAUGUGGGGUGUGUGUGUGUGUGUGUGUGUGUGUGUAUGUAUGUAUGUAUGUAUUAGGGGGUACUUAUCCAUAAAGAAGAAUGACUUUAUGACAUUUGCCAGCAAAUGGAAGGAUCUGGAGACUAUAAUGUUAAGUGAAAUAAACCAGCCCCUAAAAGCCAAAGGUUGAAUGUUUUAUCUGAUAUAUGGAAGCUUACCCACAAUAAGGAGGUGGGAUGAGGGGAAGAAUAGAAGUUCAGUAGAUUAGACAAUGGGGAAUAGAGGGAAGUGGAGGAUAGGAAAAGGAUAGACAGAAUGAAUCUGACAUAAUUUUCCAUGUACAUGUAUGAAAACAACACCAUGAAUCCCACCAUCAUGUACAUCCAUAUGAAUGGAAUCCUAAAACUAGAAUAAGAUAUAUUCCAUUGUUGCGUAAAUACAUCAAAAUGGAUUCUGCUGUCCUGUAUAACUAAAAACCAAUAAAUUUUAAAAAAAUUUAA